rnacentral:rRNA from 1 species
GCGAAGCUGGCGGCGUGCUUAACACAUGCAAGUCGAGGGCGUGGAGCAAUCCACGACCGGCGAACGGGUGCGUAACACGUGAGCGAUCUACCCUGGUGUGGGGGAUAGCCGGCCCAACGGCCGGGUAAUACCGCAUAGGUUCUUUUGGAGGCAUCUCCGGGAGAACAAAGUCUUCGGACGCACUGGGAGGGGCUCGCGGCCUAUCAGCUUGUUGGCGGGGUAACGGCCCACCAAGGCGACGACGGGUAGCUGGUCUGAGAGGAUGGCCAGCCACAUUGGGACUGAGAGACGGCCCAGACUCCUACGGGAGGCAGCAGUGGGGAAUCUUGCGCAAUGGGCGAAAGCCUGACGCAGCGACGCCGCGUGCGGGAGGACGGUCUUCGGAUCGUAAACCGCUGUUGCCCGGGACGAAUGCCUGUUUCGACAGGAUUGACGGUACCGGGUGAGGAAGCACCGGCUAACUCCGUGCCAGCAGCCGCGGUAAUACGGAGGGUGCGAGCGUUGUCCGGAAUCACUGGGCGGUAAAAGGGCGCGUANGCGGCGCCGAGCAAUUUGGGGGGUGAAAGUUCCGGGGCUCAACCCCCGGAUCCGGGCCUUUCGAUACUUUUCNCGCUUGGAAGCACAGUUAAAGGGCGGGUGGGAAUUCCNGGUUUUAGCCGGUUGGAAUGCUUU